rnacentral:rRNA from 1 species
CCUUUACUCUACGGGAGGCAGCAGUGGGGAAUAUUGCACAAUGGGCGCAAGCCUGAUGCAGCGACGCCGCGUGAGGGAUGACGGCCUUCGGGUUGUAAACCUCUUUCAGUAGGGAAGAAGCGAAAGUGACGGUACCUGCAGAAGAAGCGCCGGCUAACUACGUGCCAGCAGCCGCGGUAAUACGUAGGGCGCAAGCGUUAUCCGGAAUUAUUGGGCGUAAAGAGCUCGUAGGCGGUUUGUCGCGUCUGCCGUGAAAGUCCGGGGCUCAACUCCGGAUCUGCGGUGGGUACGGGCAGACUAGAGUGAUGUAGGGGAGACUGGAAUUCCUGGUGUAGCGGUGAAAUGCGCAGAUAUCAGGAGGAACACCGAUGGCGAAGGCAGGUCUCUGGGCAUUAACUGACGCUGAGGAGCGAAAGCAUGGGGAGCGAACAGGAUUAGAUACCCUGGUAGUCCAUGCCGUAAACGUUGGGCACUAGGUGUGGGGGACAUUCCACGUUUUCCGCGCCGUAGCUAACGCAUUAAGUGCCCCGCCUGGGGAGUACGGCCGCAAGGCUAAAACUCAAAGGAAUUGACGGGGGCCCGCACAAGCGGCGGAGCAUGCGGAUUAAUUCGAUGCAACGCGAAGAACCUUACCAAGGCUUGACAUGAACCGGAAAGACCCUGAAACCAGGCCCCCCCC